CAGCAGCCACGGGAAUACGUAGGUCCCGAGCGUUGUCCGGAUUUAUUGGGCGUAAAGCGCGCGCAGGCGGAUAGGUCAGUCUGUCUUAAAAGUUCGGGGCUUAACCCCGUGAUGGGAUGGAAACUGCCAAUCUAGAGUAUCGGAGAGGAAAGUGGAAUUCCUAGUGUAGCGGUGAAAUGCGUAGAUAUUAGGAAGAACACCAGUGGCGAAGGCGACUUUCUGGACGAAAACUGACGCCGAGGCGCGAAAGCCAGGGGAGCGAACGGGAUUAGAUACCCCAGUAGUCCCUGUCUCUUAUACA
rnacentral:rRNA from 1 species